AAUUUUGUCACAUGGCGUGUACACGCUUUUCACCACUUUACACGCAAUUACACGCUUUUUCGUUCUUUUCAUUUUUUGUUCGUUAGUGAUAUCGCUAUUCUCGGGUUUUUUCAUUACACGGAGAUAAAUACCGAAAAAUUCGAAGUAUUUGUUUGGCUGCCAUAUUGUUUAUUUUUCUAUAUGGACAAACUGUAAAAGAUUCAAAUCUAGCCAACAGAUUUCUACAGGCCAUGGGGAUGAAAAUAUCACAGAACUGUUGGAUUAGCUCUCAUAGUACCAGCUAUCAUCUGAUGAACUACCCAGUUUUGACCAGGCAAUGGAAGCAAUGGCAGAGAUAAUAGAUGAUAUAUUUUUUUACAUUGCAAAAUGAACAAAACAUUAUGACAUUCUUUAAAAUCUUGAUGAAGCUUAUUCAGUCAAAUAUCAAUUCCUACUGUGGGAGAGCAUUUUCAAUUAUAAAGAAAUUGACACUGAAUUCUGAUCAGAACUUGACUAUGUUACAGUUAUAUUGAGUGCUGUUAUAUGAAAUUAUCAAAUAAAUGUAGCUAAACUUGAAA